rnacentral:tRNA from 1 species
AAAAAGUUAGUUAAAUUAUAACAUUAAUAUGUCAUAUUAAAAUUAUUAAAAAUUAAUACUUUUUG